rnacentral:tRNA from 1 species
GCGAAUGUAGUUUAAUGGCAGAAUCUCUCGUUGCCAACGAGAAGAUGAGGGUUCGAUUCCCUUCAUUCGCU